GGAUGUGAAGGAGAUCUGGAUGAGAUAUCUGUCAAUCACUAGGGUUUAUUUGAGUGGUAUCUGGGUGUCACCUUCCUCCUUCACAAUCCCAUGUGUGUCCCUACAGAAUCUGUUUGCUUCAUCAAAGAGGACAACCUUCCCUGGUAGGGAAGGACAGUUCUUUGGUCUUUAUUAUAUGCAUUGCAUAUGAGUUGCUGGGAUCAUCUGCAUAUGAGUUUUAUUCAACCAUAAAAAAAAAUAGAAUCAUCAUUUUUGAGAAAAUGAU
rnacentral:snRNA from 1 species